ensembl:lncRNA
CAAAACGCAUGAACCCAGCGGCAGCAGGGAAACGGCGCUCACUGCGGCAACGACGGGCCGAUCGGGUCAGGCCUGAUCGGUUAUCAGCUAGAGAGGGCUGGAGGAGAAGAUGAUGGGUGAAGUUUAUUCUCUGUUCGACAACUAAGACAGACAGGUUCGGAGAUGGAAGUGAAGGGUGUGGGCGAGUGUGUGCACUGGUGUUAUUAUUUGUGUAUUAUAAUCAAUGUUUGAGAAUUUCGAAUCUAUUCCCCUUUUUUCAUCAAUAGAUUGAUCUGAUUGAUUAUUUUGUGCAUUAACAACUGAAUAUUUGCAACCAAACACUGCAUUGUGUCUGACGUGUGCAUGGGUUUGUAUGUGUGUGCAUGCUCCCAUACUGUGUGUGUGUGUGUGUGUGUGUCAGGGUCGAUAAAAGCAGAACAACAAACAGCCCAGACGAGCAGGGAGCCCUCUGGAAGAUGAGAGCAUAAACCAGUCCAACAGGACUGUACCAGAUGAGAAAGUGAUGAUCCAGUUUUCGUUCUCUCUCGCUGUCUGUCUGUCUGUCUGUCUGUUCAAAGCCUCCCCUGUCAAAUGUGAGAUCAUGCUGAUAAGUGACCUAUACUGGGGCUCACUACAUGGAGGUGGGACUUCCUGUCAUCUUAAGAAAUGUACUGGCUUCAUUUUCCAGGAAGUCCAAACCUUUUUUCAGGUUCUAGCUAUAAAAGUUCAAGGGUGGGCAUAAGUAAACACACACACACACACACACACACACACACACACACACACACACACACACACACACACACACACACACACACACACACACACACACACACACACAGGCAGAGAAAACAUUUGCAAAUGUUCACUCAAUACAAAUACAGGCAAAACAUGCCAACUCUCAGCUGACCAAAAGUCCACGAGAAUAUCAAAGCAGCAGCACAAACCAUUUACAUUCCACCAAUUACCCACAAUCAAUUAUGUAUCUUAUUCCAUUUAAAAAAAACAGUGUGAUUAAUGUAGCGCAAGGCAAUGUUUUGUGACACCCUGAAGGUUAUACAGUCCAUGGUAAUCCCUCCACUCAUCUUUCUCUUCAUUAUCUAUGUCUUGCCAGCAUGUAGUCCGCACUCACGCCAUGCGAUUCUAAUAACCGCAUUCCUUGUCGAUAACACCCUCUUCAUUUCUCUCUCACUCACAUCCAGCUGC